GACGAACGCUGGCGGCGUGCUUAACACAUGCAAGUCGAGCGGAAAGGCCCUGCUUUUGUGGGGUGCUCGAGUGGCGAACGGGUGAGUAACACGUGAGUAACCUGCCCUUGACUUUGGGAUAACUUAAGGAAACUGGGGCUAAUACCGGAUAGGAGCUCCGGCUGCAGGGGGGGGGUGGGAAAGUUUCGGCGGUUGGGGAUGGACUCGCGGCUUAUCAGCUUGUUGGUGGGGUGGUGGCUUACCAAGGCUUUGACGGGUAGCCGGCCUGAGAGGGUGACCGGCCACAUUGGGACUGAGAUACGGCCCAGACUCCUACGGGAGGCAGCAGUGGGGAAUAUUGCACAAUGGGCGGAAGCCUGAUGCAGCAACGCCGCGUGCGGGAUGACGGCCUUCGGGUUGUAAACCGCUUUCGCCUGUGACGAAGCGUGAGUGACGGUAAUGGGUAAAGAAGCACCGGCGAACUACGU
rnacentral:rRNA from 1 species